GACUUGCUCGUGGAGCUGAAAUCAGUCGAAGAUACCAGCUGGCUGCAACUGUUUAUUAAAAACACAGCACUGUGCAAACACGAAAGUGGACGUAUACGGUGUGACGCCUGCCCGGUGCCGGAAGGUUAAUUGAUGGGGUCAGCGCAAGCGAAGCUCUUGAUCGAAGCCCCGGUAAACGGCGGCCGUAACUAUAACGGUCCUAAGGUAGCGAAAUUCCUUGUCGGGUAAGUUCCGACCUGCACGAAUGGCGUAAUGAUGGCCAGGCUGUCUCCACCCGAGACUCAGUGAAAUUGAACUCGCUGUGAAGAUGCAGUGUACCCGCGGCAAGACGGAAAGACCCCGUGAACCUUUACUAUAGCUUGACACUGAACAUUGAGCCUUGAUGUGUAGGAUAGGUGGGAGGCUUAGAAGUGUGGACGCCAGUCUGCAUGGAGCCGACCUUGAAAUACCACCCUUUAAUGUUUGAUGUUCUAACGUUGACCCGUAAUCCGGGUUGCGGACAGUGUCUGGUGGGUAGUUUGACUGGGGCGGUCUCCUCCUAAAGAGUAACGGAGGAGCACGAAGGUUGGCUAAUCCUGGUCGGACAUCAGGAGGUUAGUGCAAUGGCAUAAGCCAGCUUGACUGCGAGCGUGACGGCGCGAGCAGGUGCGAAAGCAGGUCAUAGUGAUCCGGUGGUUCUGAAUGGAAGGGCCAUCGCUCAACGGAUAAAAGGUACUCCGGGGAUAACAGGCUGAUACCGCCCAAGAGUUCAUAUCGACGGCGGUGUUUGGCACCUCGAUGUCGGCUCAUCACAUCCUGGGGCUGAAGUAGGUCCCAAGGGUAUGGCUGUUCGCCAUUUAAAGUGGUACGCGAGCUGGGUUUAGAACGUCGUGAGACAGUUCGGUCCCUAUCUGCCGUGGGCGCUGGAGAAUUGAGGGGGGCUGCUCCUAGUACGAGAGGACCGGAGUGGACGCAUCACUGGUGUUCGGGUUGUCAUGCCAAUGGCACUGCCCGGUAGCUAAAUGCGGAAGAGAUAAGUGCUGAAAGCAUCUAAGCACGAAACUUGCCCCGAGAUGAGUUCUCCCUGACUCCUUGAGAGUCCUGAAGGAACGUUGAAGACGACGACGUUGAUAGGCCGGGUGUGUAAGCGCAGCGAUGCGUUGAGCUAACCGGUACUAAUGAACCGUGAGGCUUAACCUUACAACGCCGAAG
rnacentral:rRNA from 1 species